UGAAAAAAAAGUCAUUUUUUUUAUAUUAUAUAUUAUAAUAAAUUAAAUACUUCUAUUUAAUUAUAUAUAAAAUGUUUAAUUUAGAUUUAUUUCCCUUCAUUUCAAUUUAUAAUAAUUAUUUAAGUAUGAACUAAUGCUUAAUAGGAGAGAGAAGAGAAAAUAAGAAUUUUUGACACUUAUUUUAACAUAGAAUUUAAUUUAUUAUAUAUUAUUUUUUAUUCAUUAGUUGUAUAUAUUUAAUUUAAAUAUUUAAUGUAUUACAAAAAUAUUUGUAAUUUUUAUUUAAAUUAUUAACUCUAAAAAUUAAACUAGGAUUAGAUACCCUAUUAUUUUAGAAUUAAAAUUAAAAUUUUAAGGAUUAAUAGUUACAUUCUUUAAACUUAAAAAAAUUGGCGGUAUUUAAAUCUAAUUAGGGGAAUUUGUUUUUUAAUUGUUAAUACUCAAAAAACCUUACUUUAAUUAUUAAUUUGUUUAUUGUCGUUAUCAAAAUAUUUUAAUAGAAUAAUAAAUUUUUAAAAAUUUUUAUAUAAAAAUUUAUUUCAGAUCAUGAUGCAGUUUAUAUUAAAGUUAAAAUUAAUUACAAUAAAAUUUAUUUAUAUGGAUAUGAUAUUGAAAAAUGUUUUAGAAGGUGGACUUAAUAGUAAAUUUAAUAAUUAUGUUAAUUUGAAUUUAGAAUUAAAUAUGUACAAAUUGCCCGUCACUCUCGUUUUAAAAUGAGGUAAGUCGUAACAAAGUAAGUGUAUUGGAAAAUGUGCUUAGUUAUUU
rnacentral:rRNA from 11 species